AUGUCUUCGCCUUCGUGGAUAAUAGUUUCGCCACCAGCGUCACCCGUGCCCAGUGCUAACGAUACAUCGGAACCCCCGUCCCCAGUACCAAGUGUUUCCAUAUUGGACCCCGCGUCUUACCCGGAGUGUUACAUCGAAUUGGAACGGUGCGAUGGAGAAUUACGAGAAUGUGUUCAACCAGUCGGAGUUGGAGAAGCCCUCGACUUCAGGGACACAGAAGAAAGCGGUGACCAUUCGGGAGUGUUUCUCCAGGCAGCAUGGGAAGAAGAAGUCGAGCGGCGCUGUAAAGAGGAGCUCCUCGCCGAGUCGUCCUCUGAAUCAGGCGAUUCAAUCGACUCAAUCGGAGAGAUCCUCUUGUGCGAAGAGGAGAUGCACGAGUCCUCGACGGAGAAGGAAGCCAAGGAGGAGAGGGUAGUGCUGGACAUCUCUCCGACCCCUUCUCCGGAGCCCAGGGACCAGCAGGAUCAGGCCUGGAUGGAGAUUCCCAACACUCAAGUACUGAUGGAAGAAGAACAGGACUUCAAGGCGGACAGGCAGAAGGACAGGUUACGGACCAAAGCGAAGACGAGCGAAUGGCUGUUGAUGGUGACGAAUCUGGUGUACCUCAGUGGAUGCGGUUUGGCGCCUCUCCCUCGGACCUUGGAUCAGAUGACGAACGAACUGAAGAACCUGGCUACCGAUGCGCAGAACUGGGGGAUCCUGGGGUUGGGUAUGUUGAAACGUUGUAUGAAAGCUUUGGUAGGUCAAGGAAAGAAGUUGUUGACCUGUGGCGUACCGGAUAUGGUGGAGCGGAUGGUCGAAGAUAUGUCAUACACGACAUUUUUCGACUUGGAGCUGCCCAUCGAGAUCCGGAAGUCAUUUCAAAACAGCUGGCUCGGCUCUCCACAGGGACUUUUAUCGUAUCCGUCCACGGCUGCCACCUCCACUGUGUCCAUGCCUGCCGCUUCUCGAACAGCACGUGCAGGUGCUACAUCACAAAGCACUUCUGUCUUUCUUAGGGUCUUUCUUAGGUCUUUCUUAGAUCGCGUCCCAUACCAACUCAACGUAAACCAGAGGAAGAAUAUCGAAGCUCUUUUCCAUAUUAUUUUGUAUUUAAUCUUAUAUGUAUGCGCCGAUCCGUUCUUGUAUCAGACCCAGCCGUUAAUGGAAGUUCCAACUAUCAACUACGCGCAGACAUUAUAA
rnacentral:lncRNA from 1 species